rnacentral:rRNA from 1 species
GCAGUAAGGAAUAUUGGUCAAUGGGCGGAAGCCUGAACCAGCCAUGCCGCGUGCAGGAAGACGGCCCUACGGGUUGUAAACUGCUUUUGUACGGGAAUAAACCUUUUACGUGUAAGAAGCUGAAUGUACGGUAAGAAUAAGGAUCGGCUAACUCCGUGCCAGCAGCCGCGGUAAUACGGAGGAUCCAAGCGUUAUCCGGAUUUAUUGGGUUUAAAGGGUGCGUAGGCGGCCUAUUAAGUCAGGGGUGAAAGACGGUAGCUUAACUAUCGCAGUGCCUUUGAUACUGAUGGGCUUGAAUGCACUUGAGGUAGGCGGAAUGUGACAAGUAGCGGUGAAAUGCAUAGAUAUGUCACAGAACACCAAUUGCGAAGGCAGCUUACUAAAGUAUGAUUGACGCUGAGGCACGAAAGCGUGGGGAUCAAACAGGAUUAGAUACCCUGGUAGUCCACGCCCUAAACGAUGAACACUCGAUGUUGGCGAUAUACGGUCAGCGUCUAAGCGAAAGCGUUAAGUGUUCCACCUGGGGAGUACGCCCGCAAGGGUGAAA